CGGGUGAGUAACGCGUGAGUAACCUGCCUUACACAAGGGGAUAGCCUUUGGAAACUAAGAAUAAUACCCUAUAAAACCAUAAAAGCACAUGCUAGAAUGGUCAAAGUGAUAGCGGUGUAAGAUGGACUUGCGUCUGAUUAGCUAGUUGGUGAGAUAAAAGCUCACCAAGGCAACGAUCAGUAGCCGGCUUGAGAGAGUGUACGGCCACAUUGGGACUGAGACACGGCCCAG
rnacentral:rRNA from 1 species